rnacentral:rRNA from 1 species
AACGUAGGAGACAAACGUUAUCCGGAGUUACUGGGCGUAAAGGGCGUGCAGGUGGCUUGAUAAGUUCGGCGUGAAAUUUCCCGGCUUAACCGGGGGAUGUCGUCGGAGACUGUCGAGCUAGAGGGUGAUAGAGGCGUGUGGAAUUCCGGGUGUAGUGGUAAAAUGCGCAGAUAUCGGGAGGAACACCAGUAGCGAAGGCGGCUCGCUGGGCCACACCUGACGCUGAGACGCGAAAGCUAGGGGAGCGAACAGG